UACGGAGGGGGGCUAGCGUUGUUCGGAAUUACUGGGCGUAAAGCGCACGUAGGCGGACCAGAAAGUCAGAGGUGAAAUCCCAGGGCUCAACCUUGGAACUGCCUUUGAAACUCCUGGUCUUGAGUUCGAGAGAGGUGAGUGGAAUUCCGAGUGUAGAGGUGAAAUUCGUAGAUAUUCGGAGGAACACCAGUGGCGAAGGCGGCUCACUGGCUCGAUACUGACGCUGAGGUGCGAAAGCGUGGGGAGCAAACAGG
rnacentral:rRNA from 1 species